UACGUAGGGUGCAGGCGUUAAUCGGAAUUACUGGGCGUAAAGCGUGCGCAGGCGGUUUCUUAAGUCAGAUGUGAAAGCCCCGGGCUUAACCUGGGAACUGCACUUGUGACUGCACAGCUGGAGUACGGCAGAGGGGGAUGGAAUUCCGCGUGUAGCAGUGAAAUGCGUAGAUAUGCGGAGGAACACCGAUGGCGAAGGCAGUCCCCUGGGCCUGUACUGACGCUCAUGCACGAAAGCGUGGGGAGCAAACAGG
rnacentral:rRNA from 1 species